AACAUGGCUCCAUGUUAUUGUUUUAUAUGGAGUCUGACCUGCUCGGUGAAUAUAUUUUUAACAGCCGCGGUACUCUGACCGUGCAAAGGUAGCAUAAUCAUUUGCCUUAUAAUUGAAGGCUAGUAUGAAUGGUUUGACGAGAAUUAAGCUGUCUCUUUUCAAUUAAAUAUAAUUUUAUUAACAGGUGAAGAAGCCUGUGUGUUAUUGAAAGACAAGAAGACCCUAUCGAGCUUUAAGAAAUUCAAUAGAUUUAUUAUAUAUUUAUAUAAAUAUAAAACUAUUGAAAACUUUGGUUGGGGCGACUGAGGAACAAAAAAAGCUUCCUUUAUAUCUUUAGAACCUACAAGUAUUGAUCCAAUAAAUUUGAUUAAAGGAAUUAGUUACCGUAGGGAUAACAGCAUAAUCUUCUUUGAGAGUUCUUAUCGAAAAGGAGGUUUGUGACCUCGAUGUUGGACCAGAAUACCCAGAAGAUGCAGCCGUCUUCAAUGGUUGGUCUGUUCGACCAUUAAAAUUCUACGUGAUCU
rnacentral:rRNA from 1 species